ensembl:lincRNA Gm28181 predicted gene 28181
CAGCAGGAGCAGAGGAAGCCAAGCACUUCAUCUAAUUUAAUUUUCUCUUGCCUUUUUAAUAUACGUUACAUCAUAAAGUUGGAUGUAUCCGCUUAAAUAACAGUUGCAAGACUGCUGGUGAAUGAUGUGGAAAGACAUUUUAAACGGAAGGGCCAGCUAGAACACUGUCAUCCCAUGUGGAGAUGUCGAUGUAGAUCAGACAGACUUCCUUCCUAUUGAGGAUAAUGGCUUCCAAUCCAGAAUUUUGAUAGGCGGAGAAAGAGGAGCUGAGAGAGGCACACCAGCUUUUUAACUUCCUGGACUUUAACAGGCACACAUGGCUUCUAUUAUAGAUCACUGGCUUCCCCCACCCAAAGGGAGGCUCAGGGAAGAAGGAGUUAUGACGUCAUCGCUUGUUCAUUAUCCAUCUCAGACCACUGACAACUCCCCAAGUACACCCCGCUGCAGUCAGACUCUGUUCCUUCGCCCGUUUGGCUCCUGCCUGGAAUGUUCCAUUCUCUGCUUUGCCUUCAAGGACUGAGACUCAAAUCUCCUUACUUGAAACCAGCUCCUCCUCUCCGAAAGCACAGCAUUUUGCUUGCGUGGUGCAGAGGAGUGAUCAUUGUGUUCAUCUCUGCCAGAAAACUGUGGUCUCUGAGAGGUCACAUACCACAUACACUAUGAAAGAAACAUUUAAGGAUCUGAAAA